UGGGAAUUUUGGACAAUGGGCGCAAGCCUGAUCCAGCAAUGCCGCGUGCAGGAUGAAGGCCUUCGGGUUGUAAACUGCUUUUGUACGGAACGAAAAGCCUCUCUCUAAUACAGGGGGUGAUGACGGUACCGUAAGAAUAAGCACCGGCUAACUACGUGCCAGCAGCCGCGGUAAUACGUAGGGUGCAAGCGUUAAUCGGAAUUACUGGGCGUAAAGCGUGCGCAGGCGGUUUUGUAAGACAGUGGUGAAAUCCCGGGCUCAACCUGGGAACUGCCAUUGUGACUGCAAGGCUGGAGUGCGGCAGAGGGGGAUGGAAUUCCGCGUGUAGCAGUGAAAUGCGUAGAUAUGCGGAGGAACACCGAUGGCGAAGGCAAUCCCCCUGGGCCUGCACUGACGCUCAUGCACGAAAGCGUGGGGAGCAAACAGGAUUAGAUACCCUGGUAGUCCACGCCCUAAACGAUGUCAACUGGUUGUUGGGGAUUUAUUUCUUCAGUAACGAAGCUAACGCGUAA
rnacentral:rRNA from 1 species